AAAAAAUUUCAAAAUGGCGUCCAAAAGUAAGACCAUGAAAAAAGCAGUAUCAAAAGAAGAUUUGAAGCGUCUCAUGAAAGAAAAACAGGCGUCUAAAGACAACAAAACUAAAGUGACACACCCCCUUGCUAAAAAUUAGCAAUAAAAUCACAACCUGGACCUGCUAAACCACCUGAUCCUGGCAUCAAAAGAAAAUCUGAAUUUCUUGAACCAGCAAUUCCACAGAAAAAGCAAAAAGAAAAUGGAAAUUCCUCAAAGAAAUCAAAUAGCCUUCCUUCGGACUUCUUUGACAAUAAACCCAAGUCGUCUGGUGGACAACAGAACAGUCUAGGUCUGAGUUCAUAUUCCUCAGAUGAGGAGGAGGAGGAUGAAGAAGAGGGGAAGGGAAGGGAGGUAACUCCAACAUCUGCAGCAUCAUCACUGAAGUCAGUCCAGUUGUCACAUCCAGCUUUACCAGCAGAUUUCUUUGACCCUGGAGUGAAAAAAGAAGAAAUUAAAGAAGAGAAACCUAAAACCAUGGCUGACAUUUUACCGGAAGGAUUCUUUGACAAUCCUAAGGCUGAUGCUAAGGUGCGACAAGUAGAAUACAAGGAUAAGUUGGAUGAAGAAUGGGAAAUGUUUCAGAGAGCAAUUAAAGAGGAGAAUCAUGUUUCUGAAGCCAUUAUGGAGGAAGAAGAUGAAAUUGUUAAUGUGGAGAGAAAUAUUGAUGAAAUUGAUGACCAAAUAAAUCGUUGGAAGGAAAUCAAUGAUCUAGAAAUAAAAAAGGAAGAAAUAAUGCAGAAGAAAACCUCUGAGGACAUUGUUAAAGAACAGAGUGAUGAUGAAGAUGUGGAAGAUGAAGAUUUAGAGGAUUUCAUGGACUGGCGAUCAAAAACUCUAAAAUGAAUAUCUUAUUGCUUAUGGAAGAGUUUUGAAAAAUCAUAGGAAAAAUACUUAAUAAACAUGCUAGGGUUUUUUUUACCAGAAAGGGAAAAUUUGAAUUUUCCUUUAAAAUUCAAAGAGAAAUGCUCGAGUUUUGGUGUACUCAGCAAGUUUUACAUAUCCGGCUAUUCUGUUCAAGCGCUGUUCUUGUGCAUCUUUGUACCUGAAAAAGAAAAUAGAAAGCCACUUUAUGACUUUCUCUAAACUAGUACACAUGGUAGUAAUUGUCUCUGCCAUAUAGUGCCAAGGGAGGCAACUUGUUGACAUUCGGAUUCAGUGUGCUUGUAAAGAAAGUGCUGCAUUGAAUGUGUAUGAAUGAAUUAUAAUAGAGAACUUUGUUGACAUAAUGAUUCAUUGUGCUAGUAAACAAAGACUUUAGUGCUGAAUUGAAUGUGUAUGAAUGAUUUACAUCUGUAUGUGUAGAAUGUAUAUGAAAGGGUCUGAGAGGGUGAGAAAUAAUUGUUAUCAUUGUUCACUUUUGGAUAUAAUAUUAACAAAUAAACUAUGGAAA
rnacentral:misc_RNA from 1 species